CCUACAAUUUAAAAAAAAAAAAAAAAACAAAAAACAAAAAAACAGGUAUUCCAUAAAGCAUCAUUUCAAGUUGGAUAUGGCAUGUGUGCUGCUUUAAAUACUGGUCUCAAAUGUCUCUUGGGAAGAUCCAACAGCAGCUGUGGCUUAGAAGGUGAAACGGCAUCUUUUUCUAACCAGGACAUAUCUUGAGCUUACCAUGAGAAGUCUGCAAACUAUGAACAUAUUUUUUUCUAGCUACAUGACAGUUAUAUUUUUAACAUGGUUUUAAUGACUGAUUAAGGGGAGAAAACUGUGUAAUGAAGGAAGAUUCAGUAACAUAGCCUUCUUCUCCCUUCCCAACAACGCUAAGCACAGGAUAAGCACAUACUAUAUAGCGAAGGCUGGAGUUUAGCAUUUCUACUUUUUGCUGUUUUUCCUGUUAUUAACCAGCUGCA